rnacentral:rRNA from 1 species
UACAGAGGGUGCAAGCGUUGUUCGGAAUUACUGGGCGUAAAGGGCGCGUAGGCGGCCCGCUAAGUCGAACGUGAAAUCCCCGAGCUCAACUCGGGAACUGCCGUCCGAUACUGGUGGGCUUGAAUCCGGGAGAGGAUGCGGAAUUCCAGGUGUAGCGGUGAAAUGCGUAGAUAUCUGGAGGAACACCGGUGGCGAAGGCGGCAUCCUGGACCGGCAUUGACGCUGAGGCGCGAAAGCUAGGGGAGCAAAGCGGG